rnacentral:lncRNA from 1 species
CUAGAAUCACACUGAGGAGUGGGCUGUGCUGGGCAAGGUCACUGCAGCAUGGCCCCUCGUGCAUAGGACGGUGGCUUGUGUCGUGUGCACCACCAUGAGCACAGCACGGAGCCCCUCUGACUCCGCCUGCUUGCGUCCAGACCACGUGAGUGCCCCCUCUGUGGAAGAUGUAUGUGAUCGCAUCUAGGGCCCUGCAGGGUAAUCCGGACGGAUCUGCCGACUGCGGCCUUCACCUGCCUCACAUUUGUGGCGCUCCUUUCUCCGGGGCCAUCCUCUUCCUUCCCGCUGCCUCCCGUGCCUGGCCGUCCACAGCGGCUGACUGCUCGUCUCGCUCGAUGCUGGCCAUCGGUUCUCGGGAGCAUAAACAGUCCAAGCUGUCACACCGCAGCACUUACAAAGGUGCGAUCUGCACCGUCAGGCGUCCCUCAGCCAAGCUGUUAGAACGCAAGCUCCUGUCCACUGGACUCCAUCCACAAUAGAGAGAGAAAUCCCUGGAGCUAAGGUGAGAGACAGGAGAGCCGGGCGCUGCCUGAGUCCCGGCACAGCUGAGAAGUCUGCUGCAUGGAGGAUUCUAACAGCACGGUGCUUUGGACCGAGGAUCCAACUGAGAGCACACGGCCAAUUGUUUGCAUUAGGAGUGGCUAAUUUUCCUGUUUCAGAAUUCGUCUCAUGCUGGGUCACGUAUGAUUUCUCAAGACCUGGGAAGAAUACUCAAGAUGGAAGUGAAGGACCCACAAAUUCACCCUGAUCUUUACUCUUAGGCUGAGCUAAUAAAAGUU